GAUGAUGUUGUCUAAGUGAUGCUGCAAUUUCCCAUCCUAGACUACUGGUGCCUGUUGGCUGCCACAAAAUAAAAGAAGAUUAAUAAUCAGGUUAUAGCCUCCGAAAGUAUGUCAAGAUAAAAAGUUUACAACACUUUCUCCAUUAGCAGAAAUGAAAUAUAUAGACAUCCUCUUGAGUCUUGACUCUUCAAUCAAGUUGACGGAGAGGUAAUUUCAUUGUAAUGAUCAAAAGCUUUCUCAUGUACUAAGCAUUCUCAAGAUUAGCGCAACAACCUACACAAUUGAGUUGGAGAAACAAUACUCUCUAUAAAGCAAUUCUAUGUGGCAACAGGCAGUUAUACUAAGGCAUUCCAACAUAUAUGUUUUGUUUGUGAACUGCCUUAGGAAUCCACCUUUACCAGGUAAUUCAAUUUUCCCAUUCGGUGUCGGAAUAACGUACAUUCUAGAGUUUUAUUAUUUAAAACCUAUCAAGUGCAUAAGCUAUAAGUCCCCUGCAUUAUCACUAAGCCUCAGAUGAUAUAUGAAGAUAUAAUGAAGGGAUAAAAAUUCAAUACUGAAAUAAAUAUUGCUUAAGAAAACGGAUAACAGUGUAAACUUUUGAUGUUCUACCAACAAGAAACUUAGAAAGAAAAAAUUAUUAAUCAAAAGCAUAACAAGAUCCAAUAGUGGUCAAGAUAAACAUAGAAAAAACCAGCAGUGGUGUGAAUGAUACAACAGAAAGUUCAGAAAGUAAAAAAGUAUUUUAUUGACAGUACAAAGAUAGGUGAAUAUAGUACCGACCUAUAAGAAAUCCGAAUAUUUGUUGGUAACAUACUAAUCAUCACUCAAGAAAAUCUGAAUAUAUCACAAUAUGCAAACACCAGAGAACAUAGGUAAAAUAGUAUUCAUUUAAAUACUAAGUAUUGGUAAACACAAUUUUAAUCCUUUUUAAUGGGGAAAUCAUUUCAAUCGAUGUCUAAAACAAUUACAAAUGCUAACUCUAGUUCUUUACUCCCCCAUGAUCGAAUGGUAGUAUCCAGUUCAGUUGGUGUGUAAAAUAAAUGCGGAUGCUUAAUUCAAUAUAGAAAUUUUAAUUUCAAAUUAAAAAAGUAGCAGCAAAUAUUGAUUCAUUCUAAUAUAUAUAAAAAAACCAUUAAGUGUCAAAUUUACCUUGCUAUAAUGCAUUGAAAUUAGUUGGUUAGAUGAAUUUCAAGGAUUAGCUUUCUGCACCAAGCCACUCGACUAAUUGAUAUUCACAUCUGCAGACCAGGAAAAAAUAAAACUUAAUGAGAAAAAACGUUAAUCACAUGCACACAAAUAAUGUACAUAUCGAAGAGAAAAGUAGAGUAAGUCUUGGCAAAUCAAAAUGAAAGUGAAAUAGCUUGAAUUAAAGAAACUCUAAAAAUCAUUAAGGAGCAAGGAAGUACUUCACACGAUUUUGGCCUUUUAAAUUAUCCUCAUUGUCUUCAGCCUAAGCCAUUAGUUUCAACCCUUCUUUUUCAGACAAACUCUUAGAAACUUGUAGUACAUUCCUUCGCCAUCGUACACCAGGAAAACUAAAGGAAUUACAGAAAAUUACAAAAAAGGAUAGUAAAAAGAACAGUCAGGGAAUCAAAAUAAAAAUAAAAUCCAAGCAACCUGGUUGGAAGCAGUUCGAGAGCGAUUGAUAUACGAGAAGAAAAGCAUUGUUGUAUGGCCUAUUUGGUAAACCUAUAUAUAGCAAUUUAACUUCAGGCAUGCGGAAGAAACCAAAAAGACUAAAUAAAAAGAAGAAUCAGAAUUAUUGUCCAAUUGAAAAUUACGGACUAAAAAGUACAUGGCAGCCUUACUCAAUUAGAUACUAUCAAACUUCCUUUAUUUUCCCAACAAAAAGCCCUUCUUCCAUAUAAGAAUCAGAGAUAGGUUAUAAUAGUUUGUAUAGUAAGGAACAAAAUCCGAAAAUCAAAACCAAGAAGGAUCAAAUUUUCUAGAUUUCGAAGAAUUGAUAAAAGAUUUAUAUUGGUACCAGUAAUACUUUCCUCUUUCUUCUUUGUUUAGGAGCGGGAAUUUGAAGUGUUUGAAUUAGUCAUCUGCUGAUUUAUUCCUUUCUUACACGAAAGCCCUUACUCAAAAUGCAACCAAAGAAUGAAAUCAGAGAAAAAGGCAGGAGCGUCCAUAAGAAAUCUAAUACAACCUGAUUCAUUGAAUAGUUUUGUCAAACACCUAGAGAACAAAAUCUACAAAUACCUAACAUAUUCUCAACGACUGAAAUAAAUUAUAAAUACAAGAAGCGUAAGAUGAGAAAAAGAAUACACAGCAAAAAUAACAAUAGACAGAGCAGAGGAGUGAGAAAAAUACCCAGCAGAAAAUAACAAUGGACAGAGCAGAGGAGUGAGAAAAAUACCCAGCAAGAGGGAGCAGAGGUAUAAAGAGGAGGUGUUUUGGUUUAUGUUUGAGAAAAUAACAA
rnacentral:lncRNA from 1 species